CAAUAGCGUAUAUUAAAGUUGUUGCAGUUAGAACGCUCGUAGUCGGAUUUCGGGGCGGGCCGACCGGUCUGCCGAUGGGUAUGCACUGGUCGGCGCGUCCUUCCUUCCGGAGACCGUCCCUACUCUUAACUGAGCGGGGGCGGGAGACGGGACUUUUACUUUGAAAAAAUCAGAGUGUUUCAAGCAGGCAGCUCGCUCUUGCAUGGAUUAGCAUGGGAUAAUGAAAUAGGACUUUGGUGCUAUUUUGUUGGUUUCGAACACCGAAGUAAUGAUGAGAAGGGACAGUCAGGGGCACUCGUAUUCCGCCGAGAGAGGUGAAAUUCUCAGACCAGCGGAAGACGAACCACUGCGAAAGCAUUUGCCAGGGAUGGUUUCACUGA
rnacentral:rRNA from 1 species